AAAGUUUGAUCAUGGCUCAGAAUCAACGCUNUGACGGCGUGCCUAACACAUGCAAGUCGAACGCGAAAGCCCCGCAAGGGGUAAGUAGAGUGGCAAACGGGUGAGUAACACGUGGGUGACCUGCCUUCGAGAUGGGGGAUAACGUCCCGAAAGGGACGCUAAUACCGCAUGACAUCCUGCCUUUGAAUAGGUGGAGAUCAAAGACUGGGAGAUCGCANGACCUAGACGCUUGAAG
rnacentral:rRNA from 1 species